UUUUUGUAUACAAGUGUAUUUAGAAGUUGAAUGAUCUUUAAUCCUAAGUAUCACCUUAUGUGUAUGGAUGACAAUUGUGCUUGGAGUUUCAAAUCUUCUGCCGUUUUCAAAGCAAACAUAUUCAAAGUGAAAAGUUACAGUAAUAAUCACACAUACGGCUAUGGUGAAAGAUACUUAACACAACGUCAAGCUACUCCGGGUGUAAUUGCUAGUAUAGUCAAGGACAAGUAUGUUAAUCCAAAAAAAGUUUACACCGCAAAUAAUAUAAUAGAGGACAUACAAAAGCAACAUGGGAUUGAAGUGAGCUACAUGAAAGCAUGGAGAGCUAAAGAGAUAGCAAUGACAAUGAUAAGAGGGAGUCCGAGUGAUUCAUAUAAGGAGUUGCCGAAGUAUUUUUAUAUAUUGGAGCAAACAAAUCCAGGAAUGGUUACAAAAUUGCACAAAUCAGAAGAUGGAUGCUUAGGGCUGGGAGCAUUGCAGACCGAUAAUGGUUGUAGAUGGAAGUUUCCUUAAAGCAGCAUAUAAGGGUACCAUAUUGACUGCUUGCACACAGGAUGGAGCUGGAAAAAUCCUUCCACUUGCAUAUGCAAUUGUAGAUUCAGAGAGUAACAAAUCUUGGGAGUGGUUCUUUGUCCAGAUAAAGGGUACUUUUGAAGUUAGGGAAGGGAUAUGUAUAGUUUCAGAUAGAAAUGAAAGCAUAUUCAAUGCCACAAAAACUGUGUACCCAGAAGUACCGCAUUGUAUUUGCAUGUUUCACUUGUGGCAGAAUGUAAAGCGCACAUUCAAGAAACGUCACAAGCAAUUGAAAUUUAUAUCUUCUUUGCUUUGUCUAGAGCUUACACGAUAGAGAAAUUUGAGUACCAUAUGACAGAGAUGUGUAAAAUUGAUCCGAGAGUGCAGCCUUACUUGUUCGAAAUUGGCUACGAAAGGUGGUCUAGGGCAUAUUCCAAAGUGAAAAGGUCGAUGGUAAUGACUUUCAAUAUUGCAGAGUCAAUUAAUGCAGCAAACAAGGAUGCUAGAGAGUUACCAGUAAUGCGAUUGCUGGAGUACAUGACAAAUUUGCUACAACAGUGGAACAACAAAAACAGAAAAAGUGUAAUAGAAACAUCUACAAAGCUUGGCGAAAAGUACGACAAACUCCUUCGGGAAAAUCUAAUUGCAUCAGAGCAAAUGACGGUGAGGCCUGCUACGGAACAGUUAUAUACUGUGUUUGAAGGGGUAAGGUGAAACAUAGUGUGCCUUGAAGAGGGAACAUGCAGUUGCGGAAAAUUUCAAAUGGAUGAACUUCCAUGUCCGCAUGCUUGGGCGGUUUUGAAGAACCAACAGCUGAACCUGGCCAGUAUUGCUCUUUUUACUACAAGAAGGAUAAACUCCUUAGAACUUAUGAAUUUCCAGUGAAUCCGAUGCUAGAUGAGAGUUUAUGGGUAAUCCGAACAGAGGUGAUGGAAGAUGUGGUCCUACCACCUAAAGGGGGAAGGAAUGCAGGAAGGCCAAGAAAUGAAAGACUCAAAUCUGCUUCAGAAAAAGAGUCUAAGAGGGCGUUUUCAUGUUCUGUGUGUGGACAAGGUGGUCUCAAUAGAAAAACAUGUAGGA